rnacentral:rRNA from 1 species
AUACGGAGGGUGCAAGCGUUAAUCGGAAUUACUGGGCGUAAAGAGUACGUAGGUGGUUUGUUAAGUCAGAUGUGAAAGCCCCGGGCUCAACCUGGGAACUGCAUUUGAAACUGGCAAACUAGAGUAUGGUAGAGGGGGGUAGAAUUUCUAGUGUAGCGGUGAAAUGCGUAGAUAUUAGAAGGAAUACCAGUGGCGAAGGCGGCCCCCUGGACCAAUACUGACACUGAGGUACGAAAGCGUGGGCAGCGAACAGGAUUAGAAACCCUAGUAGUCC